rnacentral:rRNA from 1 species
UACGGAGGGAGCUAGCGUUGUUCGGAAUUACUGGGCGUAAAGCGCGCGUAGGCGGCUUUGUAAGUUAGAGGUGAAAGCCCGGGGCUCAACCCCGGAAUUGCCUUUAAGACUGCAUCGCUAGAAUCCGGGAGAGGUGAGUGGAAUUCCGAGUGUAGAGGUGAAAUUCGUAGAUAUUCGGAAGAACACCAGUGGCGAAGGCGGCUCGCUGGACCGGUAUUGACGCUGAGGUGCGAAAGCGUGGGGAGCAAACAGG